AAACAAGAACCUUUAGUUUCUAGCCAGCACUCGAUUGAGUUAGGUGAAAUGGGCUUAUAAGUCGUAAAUAGAAAGUGAGAUGUAUAUAUAUGUAUAGUAUGAUUGCAAGAGUGUAUGUAUGUGUGUAUGUAUACAUAUAUGUAUAUGCAUGUAAGUACAUGCUGUUUUCUAUGCUACGACUGAAAUGAUAGCAGUUUUAUGUCUUUUUAAUGCAACGUAAUUUUGCUGUUUAUUACCAACGACGCUUGAUCUUAAGAAAUUUCCGGAACAUGACGUGUAUAUUUUUAACAUAAGCCCCUGAACAUCAGAAAUAAGUUUUUUUUAUAUAUCAUCGGAAUUGUCCAAUUAUUUCUUUGAUUUUGUAACAUACAUAAGAUUGACAAAAUAAAUCACCUCUAUUUAUAAAUUACAAUUUUUACGAGCGAUAAUUUUCUUCUCGAUUAUCUGCAGUUAAAAUAGAAAUUUAAUCGAAAUAGCGUGAAAGUUUAUAAUUCAUAAAAGAAUGACUUGGGUAGCAGGUAACGAGGAGGUAAAACGAUGUAGCUAAAUUAUUUGCUAAACCGAAGUUAUACAUAUUGUGUUUGGUGCGGUACAGAUAUGUCGACCUACUUUACACAUAGUUACAUAUAAUUAUGUUAUGGCUUAUUAUACACAUUCAAUUCCAUACUUGCUAUUGAAUUGAUAGCUAGAUACAUAUUUCUUUUCGCACAUAUCGUAUCUUUCGAUUUAAUAAUAUCAGUCGUCGAUAUUUUAUUCACGCCGUAAGUAGUUUUCAUAUUUCAAAGUAAAUCUUAUCGAGCCAUUAUAUGAUCUCUCCCUAGUUAAGAGUUGCAUGUUUCUCAACGUGUAAGUAUAAUAUUCAGUAAGUAACAUUCCUGCAGGUUAUACGGUACAAUUGACAAUGGUGGAACAUCGGGCAGCAAGUAUCAAACAUAGAAAUAUAUUUAGCAAUGUUAAUUUGAUGAGAUAUCCACUCCAACCAAGCGAUAUUUUGCUAAUAGCAUACUUGUCAUAGAUACAGACCUGACAAACGAACGAGAAGCUUUACUUAAUUCGGGAAGUGUUAAUACUUACGUUAUAAACGAUUUUCUUUUCUUGUUCAAUAUACGUAUCGACUUUAACUGUUUAAACAUCUGAUGUCAUGUGAUUCGAAAUAAUGAACAUUUAAAAUUUGACAACAUGAAAAAUAACAUAGAAUGUUCAUAAACAGCUCGCCUCUUUGUUCUUUCAUAUUUAGUAAAAAUAUAAGUGUCCAGAAUCUCAGAUAUGAAAUCUGUAACUGGACUGGGUACGUGUAUAUAAAUUUAUAUUUUCAUGAAUACAACUACAGAAAUAGAAUUUCUGUACAAAUAGGGAUUUGUGUUUCACUUUUUAAAUAUUAUAACGAGCACCUUUGUAUAUUUUAUAAAUUUGUAUAUAUUCUGUAUGUUUCUGCACAUUUAAAUUCUCCAUAAAUAUAUAAAGAUUUGCAGUUUAAUCAUAGCUAAUAUACUCGUAUUACGUAAGUAAGAAAUAUAUUAAUAAAUUUUCAUGUUUUAACGAAUAAAGACACAUUAUUUAUGU